rnacentral:tRNA from 1 species
GGCUCAGCGCCGGAAGAACGGGUUACGUUGAUGGUGUAAAAUAUGAGGUUGAUUUCCUGAGCUA